rnacentral:rRNA from 1 species
UACAGAGGUCUCAAGCGUUUGUUCGGAUUCAUUGGGCGUAAAGGGUGCGUAGGCGGCGCGGUAAGUCGGGUGUGAAAUUUCGAGGCUUAACUCCGAAACUGCAUUCGAUACUGCGGUGCUUGAGGACUGGAGAGGAGACUGGAAUUUACGGUGUAGCAGUGAAAUGCGUAGAUAUCGUAAGGAAGACCAGUGGCGAAGGCGGGUCUCUGGACAGUUCCUGACACUGAGACACGAAGGCCAGGGGAGCAAACGGG